AGCGAACGCUGGCGGCAGGCCUAACACAUGCAAGUCGAACGAAGUCUUCGGACUUAGUGGCGGACGGGUGAGUAACACGUGGGAACGUGCCUUUAGGUUCGGAAUAACUCAGGGAAACUCGUGCUAAUACCGAAUGUGCCCUUCGGGGGAAAGAUUUAUCGCCUUUAGAGCGGCCCGCGUCUGAUUAGCUAGUUGGUGAGGUAAAGGCUCACCAAGGCUACGGUCAGUAGCUGGUCUGAGAGGAUGACCAGCCACAUUGGGACUGAGACACGGCCCAAACUCCUACGGGAGGCAGCAGUGGGGAAUCUUGCGCAAUGGGCGAAAGCCUGACACAGCCAUGCCGCGUGGAUGAUGAAGGUCUUAGGAUUGUAAAAUCCUUUCACCGGUGAAGAUAAUGACUGUAGCCGGAGAAGAAGCCCCGGCUAACUUCGUGCCAGCCGCCGCAGUAACAC
rnacentral:rRNA from 1 species